rnacentral:rRNA from 1 species
UACGUAGGGGGCAAGCGUUGUCCGGAUUUAUUGGGCGUAAAGAGCGUGUAGGCGGCCAUGUAGGUCCGUUGUGAAAACUCGAGGCUCAACCUCGAGACGGCGAUGGAAACCAUAUGGCUAGAGUCCGGAAGAGGAGAGUGGAAUUCCUGGUGUAGCGGUGAAAUGCGCAGAUAUCAGGAAGAACACCGGUGGCUAAGGCGGCUCUCUAGUACGGAACUGACGCUGAGACGCGAAAGCGUGGGUAGCGAACAGG